rnacentral:rRNA from 1 species
GACGAACGCNGGCGGCGUGCCUAAUACAUGCAAGUAGAACGCUGAAGGAGGAGCUUGCUUCUCUGGAUGAGUUGCGAACGGGUGAGUAACGCGUAGGUAACCUGCCUGGUAGCGGGGGAUAACUAUUGGAAACGAUAGCUAAUACCGCAUAAUAGCAGUUAUUGCAUGAUAACUGUUUGAAAGGUGCAAUUGCACCACUACCAGAUGGACCUGCGUUGUAUUAGCUAGUUGGUGGGGUAACGGCUCACCAAGGCGACGAUACAUAGCCGACCUGAGAGGGUGAUCGGCCACACUGGGACUGAGACACGGCCCAGACUCCUACGGGAGGCAGCAGUAGGGAAUCUUCGGCAAUGGACGGAAGUCUGACCGAGCAACGCCGCGUGAGUGAAGAAGGUUUUCGGAUCGUAAAGCUCUGUUGUAAGAGAAGAACGAGUGUGAGAGNGGAAAGUUCACACNGNGACGG